AGGAGAAGUGAGGGGCGCCGCGGCAGGCCUGCCUUUUCAGUGAGCACCACAACACACAGUCAGUCGCUCUCUGGCCCCACACUCACGAGAUCGCGAUCAGCUGGUGGCCCAAACUGGCAUUUACCUGACCAAGUCGCAGCGCUUAAGGCACCCACGCAACCGUAAAGGCCCGCCUGAGUUAACUCGCAACCAAAAUGGCUCAUCCCUGCAUAGGAAUGAUCGCCGCCAAGAAGAUGGUGACGCGGCCGUCGUCCACCCCGGCCAAACUUUUCGCGCCACUGAGGGGCGAAAACGGCGCGUGGCACCGCAUCUUCCGGCUACCCCAACUGCUGCUCAGCACCGUCUGCUAGAAACUACGAUCACCUCACAUACGAUUCUCCACGCCUAUAGAAAAAUUAAGAUGUAGCCCCACGAGACACUCAGAGACGAGAGCAAAGAAGAGUUACCUCAUAUAUCUCUCCUAUAGAGUUUUAACUUAUUGUGUAAAAAAAGAAGAUUAAGAAAGAUUCUAACAUAGCCCUAUAUAAGAAUUAAAGAGCAAGCAGAAAAUGAGGAAGCAAUAAAAAUUAAUUACAAUCGGAGAGCAGAGUAUUUUUAUGAAAAGCAGUUUCUUUCCAACUUUUUCUUCGGGUGAUAUUGACAUGCCUUCUUUUUUUUUUAAAUUUUUCCUCCCAAUCAAAAAGCAGGUGGCCUGAAAUGAAAUUUUCCGCACUUUUCAAUGUUUGUCGUUAAAGAUUCACACUCUCUUAUUUGGAGCAUGCGUGUGUCUCUGCGAAUCCAAUAUCCGUUCAAUCAUUCGUUAAUAAAAUGCAAAUGCGCGUGGAAGUGACGCGUAUUUUGCGUCAGAGUGCUGCGAGGGUGUGAUUAAACCUCGUCGGGCCAAAUGCCGCCCGCAAAAUCUUGGCUUAAGAGGGAUUAUUUCCAGUUAACAGAGAGGCUGCUUUUGCCGCAAGCUUGGAUUUAUCUCCAGAAAAUGGAAUUAAAUUUGAGCUCAAAGUUGCUGGUAAGUCUAAACCUUCCGUUUGCGACAAAAGAGGGAUAAAUUUUCAUUUGAGAAAUUACAAAACAUUAAUUAAAUCUCUUAGUUUCACCUUUUUUAAGUCAGCCAUUCCAUUUAAUUGAUUUGGCAACUGAUAAAAUAACCUGGGGUUCAGAAUUGUCCACGCUUUUUUUUAUAAACGUGCAGCUCAGCUGGUUUUGGGUUUUUAUCUCCCAGUUUUAACCAAACACUGAGUUUCAUUUCCACCUUAAAAAGUAAAAUUUAUUGUUUCUUUCCGCAAGGGGAACAAUUUAACCCUAGAAAAGUGGUUUUAACUGAAUAUUGAAAAAAAAAUCACUUUAAGGCAUGGAGUUCUAAAUUUUAACUUAUUAGUUUUUUCCCCAAAGACAUAUUAAUUCACAUUUUUUGUGUCCCUAAAGAAAGUUUUCUGCUUACAUAUUAUAAUUAUCUUAUUAAAAGUACCGACAUAAAAAGUAAACAAAAACAUCUAAAAUAAUCAGCACUGAAAAAAAAAUCUGGUGGCUUUUUCUGAACCCUAACAGGAUUGAGACACGCAUCAAGUCAUGCAACCUGAAUUACUAUAAGAAAUUGCACCUUACACUUGCUGUCAAUAACAAGUGGAUAUAAUAAUUAAUGUGAAAUUAAUCAGUCUCUCGGCGUGGGAUAAUAAACAACUUAUGCAGACGGUGUGUAUAAUGACAUCAUAUUCUAGGGCGAAAAAAUCACUUUUAGUACUCUUGUAGGUAUCGCAACAAAACAAUAAGAUCGUUAUUCACUUGCGCUUGUCACGCAAAAUGUAAGGCACGUAUAGCAUAUCCCGGGUGGCUUUUUGAAACAUUAAUGAGUGAAGCACCUAAAUAUUUCAUAAUAAGCCUGACGCAAUAAAAUAAUCUAGCGAAAAGAAAUGAUUUUUUUCUGUUUAUGACGGACAUAAAAAUGAUUUUAAAAACCAUUAUCAAGCAUGAUUGGGAAAAAGCACUUCUUUUAUCGCAUUUAAUCCAGCUGGCGCUCUUAAGUGAUGACAGCAGGAUUAACUGAACUAAGUGCAUGAUUUUUAUAUUUUCGAAGCGGCCAUAUGUUGAUUUCCUAUUUUCAAAUCACAGUAUCUCUGCCACGAUUUCACGCAUCUCUGCUGCGACAAUAUUAUCAUAUACACUUGGCGUGCAUUUUCACGGUUGAUUUAGUUGGUUUUUCACUUUUUUGUGUGGAGGUUUUGGUCGCAUUCGAUGAACCUUCACAAAGAUGCUGCUUUCAGAGGCUGUCUUAUCAUCUAGAGAGUGUAAUUUGAAUUAGAAUAAAGUGUUUAAUAACUUGUUGUGUAUUUGCAUACAAUAUUAUUCGAGUGUAAUACCGCCAGAAGAGAACGUGAGCUAAAUAAAAAUGAGAAGAAAAAAAUUAACUCUUUCAUCCCAAGCAUGUUAUGCACUCUUCCAUUUAAAAUGAUAUAUGAAUAAGCCUCCUCCUUACUCUUAUUGUUCUUUUAAGAUUAUCAUUAAAUUGUUAACAAGGAGAAAGGAAAAAAAUGACAAAACAAAGAGCGAUAGUCAAUGUAGUCAACUACUUUAAUUUCGUAAAAAUAAUCAAAGUGUUGAAUAUGUAUUAAGGCAUUGUAUUGUUGAAUAAAUAUAUUUAUGAUUAUAUUUUAGCUGCGAGAUGUUCAUCAAUAAAAACAUCAAGAGUAAAAAUGCA